CCGUAAGUACAGCAGAAGCAGCUCUUCUGAAGUAUCUGGACGUUGAAAUGUUUCCUUGAGACGUUUGAGGUUGAACCACAGAGAAAUACACGGAUGUCCUCCCGCGGAGUGGGAGUUGGCCUGGGCGCCCAGCCGAGACCGGCUGCAGAGCCCCGCAGGCCCGCAGGCCUCGGGCAGCACACCCGGGGUUCCUGCGCUCGUGGGCCCGUGGGAAAUCCACCCAUUUUCUUAUUUGCUAACUUGGAGCUGUGACCCGGGGAAUACCUCAGAAAAUGAGUAUUUAGAGGUCGCGGCCUCAUCAUGACUAAGUCAAAUGAGGAAGUGCCCAGUACAUCCUGGUGGCCGGGGAAUAUUUGUCGAAUGAAUGAAUGAAGAAGUGAAUUUGACUUUUGGUGACUGGCUGCAGAGAAAGGCUUCGUCCUGGUGCCUCGUCCAUGCUACUCCAUGGCACCUCAGGGGUAGAAGAUGAGCUCAGGGAAUCUGCCUAACCUGGACCCUAGUCCCAUUGGUGCCGACUGAGAAGCACUGAACUGGAAGGUCGCCGUCCCAUGCUGCACUGUCAUGUCUUCCUGCCCAAUGUAGCUGAGCUCACUGCCAUCCAGAACGGCCCUGGCUGUGUAGAAGGUGUCCUGCUCUACCUGCACAGGGUGUUCAAACCAGACCACGAGGGGGUUGCUGGAGCCAUCUGAGACAAAUGUGGUGAAAUGACUCCCUUUGCAACUGGUGAUCCUCUCUGCUCAAAAAAGAAAGAAUAUUUACUAUGUCUGUUAUUAAUGCAGCCACUCUAACUUUUUAAAAUCCAUGCUAGGGUAGUAUAUUUUCACCGAUCCUUUAACUUUUAACCUAGUUGUGUCUUUAUAUUUGACAGUUGUGUUUUUUUAAUCCAGUCUAACAAUAGCUAUUUUUUAAUUGGGUUAUUUAGACCAUUUAUGUUUAAUAUGAUUAUUGCUACAGUUGGGUUUAAAUUUACCAUCUUGUUUUUGGUUUCUAUUUUCUCAUCUGUUCUUCAUUCUCCUCUAUUGUCUUUAUUUGCCUCCAUUUGGGUUGAAUAUUUUUAAUGAAUCCAUUUUAACUUUCUCGUGGGCUCAUUAACUUAAUAACUUUGAAUUAUUUUAGUUGCCUUAGGGUUUAUAGUGAUAAGCUAGAGGUGUCACACUGCCCAUAUUGGAUGCUGGACUUUAUUUAGUGUAUAAAAACUUCUCAACAAUGUACUUACAUUUCUCCCAUCCUGGACUUUGUGCUGUUUAUAUCAUACAUUUUAUUUUUACAUAUGUAAUAACCUAACAAUACAUUGCUACCAUUUUUGCUUUAAAUAGCCAAUUAUCUUAUAAAUAGAUUUAGAAAUAAGAAAAAAAGAUCUUUUAUGCUAACCCUUAUGAAACUGGUGCUCCUCUUUCCUUUGUGUAGAUCCAUGUGGUAUCAUUAUCCUUCUGCCUGAAGGACUGCUGGUGAUAAAUGCUUUCAGCUUUUACGUGUCUGAAAAAGUCUUUAUUUGUUCUCUAUUUUUAAAGAUAUGUUUGCCAUGUAUAGGAUUCUAGGUUGACUUAAAAAUAUAAAGAAGAUAUUGCUCCAUUGUCUUUUGGUUUACUUCCAACAAGAAAUCUGCUAUCUCCCUUAUCUUUGUUCCCAUGUAUGUAACAUAUCUUUUUUUCUGCUGGAUUCUUAAAAUUUUUUCCUCUUUAUUAGUGGUUUUAAACAAUUUAAAUAUGAUAUGUCUUGGUAUAGUUUUCUUCAAUUUUCUAGUGCUAGGGUUUGCUGAACUGCUUUUAAACUACUUGGAUAUGAAUGUUUAUAUUUUUUAUCAAAUUUGAAAGAAUUUGGUCAUUAUUUAUUUAGAUUUAUUCAGGUAAUUUUUUUUUCUGUCUUCUAUUCUCUUUCCUUGUUUUGGGGGAUGUCAAUUACAUGUGUAUUAGGCCACUUAACAUUGUUCCACAGCCUACUAAGGGUGUGUUCACUUUUUUUUUUUUUUAAAUUUUCUCUCUGAGUUUCAUGUUGGACAGUUUCUAUUGCUAUGUCUUCAAGUUCACCAAUCUUUCCCCCUCCCCCCAAAUGUCUAAUGUACUCUUAACCCCAUCCCACUAUUAUUCUUUUUAGACAUUAUAGUUUUGAUCUCUAGUUUGACUUGAGCCUUUUUAUAUUUUCCACAUGUCUAUUUAACAUGUUUAAUCUUUCUUUUAGGUUCUGGAACACACAGAAGAACAUACUUACAAUAACUUUUAAUGUUUUUGUCUACUAAUUCUAUAAUUUGUGUCAUUUCUAGUCAGUUUUAAUUGUUUGAUUUAUUUUCUGGUCAUGGCUUGGUUCUGAGCAAUGCUGCAGCUCUACUAACCAAAUCAGACCCUCUGGCUUGCACUUCAGUUCACCCUGCCCUGUGGGACCCAGUGAUUUGGAACUGACAAUCCACUUUGAGGCCAGCCCUCCAGCUGGGUGGUCUUUCCAACCAGUCCCUUUAUGCUCCUGGCUUACUUCCCUCUUCUCUGCUCCGCCACUCCUCUUCUGGAUCCUGGUAACCAAGGUUGCAUAGGUUAUGUCACUCAGUGAAAAGUAUUUUUCUUUCUUUUGCAAAUUAACCCCAUUUAUUUAUUUUUCACAGAUAAGAUAUAUUAUUUUUCCAGAUUAUAAAUAUAAGACAUACUAAUAUGGGCAACUUGAAAAUUUUGAAAAAAUAUAGCUCUCAAAAUUAAAAUAAAAAAUAUAGCUCUCAAAAAAUUAGUAGCAUUUUUUAAUACUUCUCUCCAUUUUACAUGGUUGAUCUUACACUGUAUGUACACUUUAAAUUCUGCUUAUUUUCAGUUAUCAUUUCUUGUGUCACUAAAAAUAUUUUAAUGAUUAAUGCUCUUUCAUCAUGGAGGCAUGCCAUAAUUUAUGUAACUAUUUCUCUACAAUAGGACAUUUUUAUAGUUCGCUUCCAUUUUUUCCCCUAUUAUAUCUUUCUGCAGAAUUUCCUCCUGAAUUUGGGAUUAUUUCUUUAGGAUAGAUUCCCAGAAAUGUAAUAAUAGGAAUGAACCUUUUCAGGCACUUAAAAUGUAAUGCCAGAUUACUUUCCAAAAUGGUUAUAACAAUGUACACUUAAACUCAAUCAGCAUUUGAUGGAGUUUUCAGUUUUAUCUGAUGAAUGUUUUUAAACUUCACAGGUUUCUUCAUUAAAGUGAACGAUAAUAUUUAAUAAACUUGAUAUCUACCUGAA